rnacentral:miRNA from 1 species
GACGUCGAUAUUCGACGUCAUAAACACGAUCAACUUUGGUGUUUAUGACGUCGAUAUACGACGUCAUAAACACGAUCAGCUUUGGUGUUGAUGACGUCGAUAUUCGUCGUCAUAAACACGAUCAACUUUGGUGUUUAUGACGUCGAUAUUCGACGUCGUAAACACGAUCAACUUUGGUGUUUAUGACGUCCAUAUUCGACGUCAUAAACACGAUCAACUUUGGUGUUUAUGACGUCGAUAUUCGACGUC